rnacentral:lncRNA from 1 species
GGAGGUAAUUAGUGCUGAAUACACAUUUGCUGGAGAAAUUGUAAGAUCAUGACAUUGUUAUUUCACCUGUCAUCUAAGUUAAGUGACAACUAAUGACUUCAUUAAUAUGAUAAUUAAGCAGAGAUCAUUCUUAGGUUUGAAGUGCCACUGAAACUUCAUUAGACUCCCUCCCCAUAAUAUUGCUAAUUGCGUGUCAAUUACAGGGUUUAGCCCACUUAGACAUUAAUUUCUAUGCAAAUUUUGAAUUCGUUUACCUAGACAAGGGCAGCGCUGUGUUCAGGGCAUUCUGUGGCUAUUUAUAUUUCUAUCUAGAGGUUUGCUUUGCUACAGUUGAAGUAUUUCAAGAUACAGAAUGUAAAUUACUACAACUGAUUCCGAAUUGCUCUUAAUUUCUUUAAUUAUAUCUUGCUGUCUGAAGCUGAAAACAAGGAUUACAAAUUACUAAUGAAGUUUUGACGCUACAGUCCCAGCUGUAAAAUUAAAGUGCGAUACUGAUGAGUUGAUAGCAGAUCAUUUGCUUAAAAACAGGGAAAAGGUGAAUUUUUUGUGUAAUCUUUAAAUGUUGAAGUCUUGAUUCUCUCUAACUACAGAAAACUCCCCCUUUCACCACAGUAAUAACAUUGUCAUGUAGAGCUGUAAUAACAGCUGAUUAAGUUACACUGGUAAACCCGUCCACGCAUUGGAGGCUAUGAUAGAAAAAAGAGAGAGUGAGAAAAAGGGAAGUGAGAGAAGGCAAGUAAACAUGGGUAAAAUGGAUUCUCUGUGUCUAUAUUUCAUGUUGGAAAUUGGCUCAUAAAUCCAGUGGUUUGAUCUAUGGAACCCGUCGUUGCUUGAAAAAACCUCCGUAAAUGUGUAAUUUCUCCCUUGACAGAACACAGCCGAAAGGCUAUCUUUCUUUGGCUUCCUCCUCCCCUCUCACUCUCUCUCCCCUUUUUCCUCUGUCUCUCAUUCUCGUUACCUCUCUCUUCCAGCUUGCUGUUGGAUUAAUGCUCUUCUCUCCCCCUCACUCCUUUCAUGCUCCUCUGAUAUCUGCUUUUCAUCACUGCUCAUCCAUUUAUCAAACCGGGGUCUUCUUUUUUCUCUUACCUCUCUAUAUGUUAACCCAGCUUAAGUUAUAUGGCAGCUAUCUUGUAAGAUAGGCUUCAAGAAAGUGGAGGUUAUUAAUAAAUACUAGUCUAAAUUGAAAAAAAAGGAGGCAGGGAUGCAUCACCAGCCAUGUGUGAAUGAUAUAGACCCCUUCUUGCUUCAUCUGCUGUGAGCUCGGUCCAGGCUCCAGUGUAGGUUCUGUAACACUGAUGUGAAAAGCAUGAUGCAGAACACAGCGGCCGAGUGUCUUAUAAUGUGGUUGUGAUGGCAUCGAGAUGGGAUCUCUUUAUCAAGACCAGGCUGAGGCUUUAAUCACGGCCUAAGAGGUGCACUGGCUGUUUAUCAUAAUUGAACUGUAUCCAGGCUAAUCGCCGGCAUACGUCACUGUCGAGGGGUCGCUCAGCAGCACAGCCAGGCGAAGCUGCUGGGGGUGAUUGAACACACAGUUAAGAGAAAGGAUGUGUACUGAGGGACAUAAGGCAGGAAAAGGCAGGUAAUAGCAGAUGUGAUAGAAGCCUGUUCAAAUACAUCACGCCUGGAGGUAAUCGCUGAUGUGACAAUGAUUAGAUUGUCUAUGUCUCCUUGCUGUGGCACAGCGUUUUACACCCAUCAUAUCUCACAUGAUCACUGAUUACUAUAAGGUGGAGAGGCAGGAAUGGUCUAAUAAGAGUUUAGGUACAGAGGUUGGAGGAUUUCUUUCCUUUGUUGUGGUUUGGGCAUUUACUCGAUGUCCAAAUCAGACUUCAUCUCCUCCCCCCUCUCUCAUCUCCAUGUCCUCACUUUGACUUUCACCUCCUGCUGUAUUCAGGUCACCUUGGGGGACAGAACUUUUAAUCAUUGUUCCGCAUCAAGUUCACCUGUGCCCCUGGGACACUGAGCUGCAACAAAGGACAGGGGAGUUAAAACCGCAGGUUUGAAAAUCUCAGUCGCCCACAGGGCUGGACAGUGUAUUUUUAAAAAAAAAAUUCUUUAGCUGCCAGGGGAAGUCCUGGUACGACACAAACCCAAUCACUGUCGCUAAGCAGUGCUUACAGCUAGGCAUUAACCCCUCUGUCCACUCUCCACAUUAAAGCCCCAGGGAGGAAGAAGAGGAGAGUAGAGUGGAGUAGAGCAGAGAGAGUAGACUAAAUCUAGACUUUCUACUCCCUGGUGCUGUGCUGCUCUUCUUGGUCAGGUGUUGUUUUUCAAGGUGUAGAAGAAACACAGAGUACAACAAACAUAGCAGAUGUAUUCAGGCAACAAGUGAGAUCUUAAUUUUAUGGAAUCUCUUCAGAUAAUAAAACAUAAUGAGGCCACCUUGCUGACUCCUGGUUUACCUCUAUUAACACUUGGAGACGUCACUAAACAGUUCUUCUCUUUCUUUCUUUUAGUGAGUUAUUCAUUCAGUCCAAACUACAAGACUCAGACCUUACAUUUAAAGACCUUGAAAAGAGAUUUUUAAUCCGUAUGAAACAGACUGACAUCAAUAUUGGCUCUUCUUCAAGAGCAAACAAGAUCACCGGUGAGAGAACAGGAGGGGAGGCGUCACAUGAUGGGAUUGACAGAAAAGCACUUUCGUUUUUAAACUUUGCAUGCAAGAUUUGAAAAUGAGUGGCUCGAUCGAAUGUUAAAAGAAAGCAGGAGUAGAUUUGAUGAAUAAUAAGAAAUACUUCCUGCAGUAAUAUCUAGGGGGAUUUUGAAAUAAAGAUGAUAAAUAGGUAGAGACAGGGGGCUAGAAUCUGCACACCAAAAUUUCCUCACAUGAGCUUGAGAGUAAAAUCUGUAAAUUUCAACCUCUGCUGCUGUUAGUACGACUACUAUUCUUUGAACUCUGUCUCAGUCUUCACUAAGUUCUUCUUGUCCAGCUCUUUGUCCGCUUGGUGCGAUUUCACUUCAACCAGCUAGUUCACUUUUUUGUCUGCCAUCUGUUGCUGGGCAGAUAGUGUUCAUGAUGGUUAACAAAGGUGUUAGGUUUUGAAAUGUGAGGUGAAGUGCUGAAACAAAGGUGUAUAACAGUCACAAAACAAUAGGUGUUAAAAGCGCAUGAAGAUGAUGAAUCAAGAAUUAAUGAGUUAACCACCAGCCUCUAAUUUAUCUCAUGUAUGGGCUUGUAUUUUAUUGUCUGGCUCUAACAUCAGAGUAAACAUGAUUGAAAAGUGGGCCACGUUAGGGUGAGCAGUGUGGUCCACUCAGGCUAGAGCUGUGAUUGCAUGCUGACCAUAAACGAGAUCAGGUUGGACGGAUCAUCCCGGCUCUGUUCAACCAGCAGCCCUCAGAAACGAAGCAGUUUGACUUGAUUUGUCAGCAAGAGAUAGAGAGGCCUCUGAACAAUAUGUGACAGUUACCCCGGCAAAUCAGAGCGGUGAAUGUCCCUGUCUUCACCUGCACAAGCUCAACUUUAACAAAGAAAAAAAAUCCAAUUUACCAUGCGGAUCCACAGCUGUCACGGCAGGAGAAUUAGACAUUACCCAUAACUCACUGGGGGUGCUGAGCAGGUCAGUGCAUGGCAGGGUUGGUAACAUCACUCUGGGGUGCAAUAACAAAGGAUUUUAACCUCUGACUUCUUUACUAAAGCUGCUGGCAGAACAUCCUCCUCGGUGGGAGCAGCCAUCGCCAAACUGGUUAACAAUCUGAGCUGAGUUGAUGACUCCACUUCCUGGUACACACCUCACACACCACUCAUCGUUUAAAUUCCCUCCUAACACAAACAGGAAAAUGUGGGGGGGAAUGUCAGUGUAAAUGCACUGCUUUCCACCCUGCUGGUUCCUGGAGCAGUUCCUGUGAUGCUUCAUAGGGGGGUUGCUGAGUUCCUGUAGCUGCUAGCUAGCGUCCCGAUGUCAUCACCCACACAAGCUUGACUGCUUGCCUGGCUGGUCCGCCACCGCCAGAGCCUCAAUUACCUGACUGACGUUUCAUUAGCAGCUGCAGCUGAUCCCGUGGCUGAGAGGCAGCGGGGCGCAGAGGAGCAUGGAGUGAAAGAGAGAGAAGAGAGAGAGAAGAGGGGGGAAGAGCGCAUUUCAUUCUCAUGGCCUGUCAGAGUGAAGCCACACAGCCACUCAUUACACUGCAGUCAUUUAGUACAUGGUUUUAUUGAGCUGGACUGUGUACUCUUAAAUAGAGUUUGGUGGGUUUUAUCUGGUGUCACCGGUUCUGAGUUGACAUUCACAUACUGGCACAGGACUUUUGGAGCAGCUGAAACUAUGAAAAGUUGCAGAGACGUCGUAGCAGAUUGGCGACAAAUCAAUCUGCCGCAGAACACCAAUCAGAGGUUUGACACUUUCCACGUUUGUCUGUAUUUGUGGAGCUAUUCUGUGUCUGUACCUGUGCUUGUGUGCCAUGUGUGGCCUCUCCAUCCUCGGGGUUAGUGAAGGCCAUGUCAGAGAUGAUCCAGGGCAGAGCCAAGGGGGGCUUAGUGAGACCCCAGGCCUGAGCCUCUCCACAGAGCCCACGCUUGGCUGGCCUCCCCUUCCCAUUUGUCAUCCUGGGCCGGUAAGACCCCCGGAGAGAUUAGGGCAGAGCAGAGAGACUGGAGGAGUAGCAGGAAUAAGAGGAUCAGUUAAGCUAUAAACACAGACAAGUUUGUGUCUCUCACCCACUCUGGCGCUGUGACAGUUUGUAAUGACCGUCAAAAGUUCCCUCUGUGCUGAACAUCUUUCUUUAAAAGACAUGACCAAGUCCAAAUACUUGUUUUUCUGUACAAGUAAAAGUACUUCUAUCAGUUUUAUUAAAUGCUGCGUGUGGAAAGAAAAGCAGGCCUGAGUUGGAUAUUAAACAAAAGCCUUAACAGUAUCGACCCGCAUUGACCUGAGCUAAUGAACCGGGACCCAAAUGCAGAACUGAAAUGCAAAGGUUUUCCUAUAAUUAGAGUUCUGUGGCACAAAGACCAUUAGUCAAAGCCUGAGAGCUUCUUCAUUUCCAUAUUUUUGAAUAUUGUACUUAAUUAUGCAAGGAGAACUGUGAGGUAGACAAGAAGUUUUAAGAAAGCCUCAUAAAGUCCUUAUUAAGAAGAGAGGGGAUUAAUGACAGUUAAUAUGAGGGCAAUCAAACAUUUAAUGCAAAGUCCCUCCUGCAGGCAAAAAGUAUUUAAAUAAGUCAAUUAGACAUUCAUUAUCUACAGGCUUAUAAGUGGAGUCAGAUCUGCAUAAAUGUUGGUGCGGAGCAUCACUCCCCUUUAAAAAGGAACUAAUGAAAUAUUAAAAAAGUUAACAACUUGGACAUGGAAAAUGUACAAAUAUUGAUUGCUAGAGGGCUGGCUCUGUGUUGUGUUGGAAUCAGGGGAGAACACACGAUAUAUCAACUGGAGAUUGUCUCAUAAAUCAUAAUUAUCGAGUUAGCAUGAUCUCUCCUCCCAAUUAGCUGUGUAGCAUUGUUGGAAUAGGAUGAGAGAGGGGAAAGGGGAAGCCCUCCAAUUGUCAAUAUUAUAAUUACAUGAGAUCCUGUGCAGUACCUGAAUAUUUCUAGUGCCUCUAAAUCAUAUGCAAGCUAACAAACAGCCUAAAAAUGAGUAGAUAUAUGCUAUAAACAUACAUAUGCUGCUGUGGAUGACAGAAAUAAUGUACCAAACUAUGCAGAUAUAUCAUUGUCAGCUCCUCCUCCUCCCUCUCUUUCUAGCCCUCCUUCUUUCUUUCCCUCCACGUCUGAGCCUCCACUCUUGUCAGUUGCCCCAGCACACAAUUACUGUGUGUGAUUGCUAUCAGGCGGGAUGGUCGGGGAGGCUCCCAAAUUAGGGCCUAAAUAGGAUUUCCUACAUGGCGAAGGGCACAGGCCUGGACAUGGUAAUGAAAGCCUAUACAUCACAAUCAGGCCGACAAUCCUAUUCAUACUGCAACACAUUACUCUCACUCCUCAUAAUUAUAGAGGGGUGACAGACGGGCCUGUGAGGCAUGGCGGAGGAGGCGCGAGAGCGAGGAGAAGGAGGAGGAGGAGGGGUGUUACUGGGGGAUAGCUGAGCAGUGUCACAGUUAGCUUUGAGUGGCUUCUUCUUCCCCACUUCUGUGAUCUCUUGAUACCUGGAGUGACCGGAUUAGGUGGAAGUCCACUGGGAUUAAUGCCACAUAGUUUCAGCCAACACUCCAGCUACCUAUAGAUGAGUGUCAUUACGAAAUAAGUGUUCUAACUUGGGUGUUUUCUCCCAACGGGGGAGAUUCCUCCAAUGGGACACUGACCACAUCUUCCAUCAGACUGACUGACACAGGCAAACACACACAAACACAAACACACACACGCUCCUGAUGUGAUGAGAUGGGAGAGGGACAGCUUUGCGAUCAAUACCAUGAGCAGGAAUCAGCGAUGGGGAGAAUAAGACAAUGGCCUAUCAGAUUGAGGUUGACUUCUCCUUGUAUGUGUGGCAAGCCUGUGACAAUAGAUUGGCCCAGAAAUCCGAUGGCACUUGCCGACAGGGAGGGAAAAAGGAGGAGACAGAUGAAAAGAAAGAUUGCUAAUGCUCUCCAAGCAGGCAUUUUAAUCUGUGACAGAGGUGGGAUUUGGUGAAAGCCAUUAUCACACAGCUAGCACCCCUUUUCACUUCACCCCCUUUCUUUUCUGAUAAGACAACCUUAUCAGGCUGCUGGGGGGGAGAAUGUGUUUGUAUGUGUAUGCGUCUGUACCUUUGCAUGUGUUUGUGUUGCAAAAUGGGAUAUUCCAAAUGCGAUUCAUUGGACCCGAAGCUACCGUACUCUAUCGAUGCAAAUCACCCAAAGAACUCAGUCAAACGGUGAGCGUCGCAAAGUGGAUUCAGAUCACAAUAACCCACUUCACCGGGCAAAGACAGCAAGGCAACAUCAUGAGGUGCAUUGUUACAUGUGUUCUCUGCUACGGCUAUGGCCUAAGGGAAAAGGCCACCUUGGUUUUGUGUGUGUGUGUGUGUGUGUGUGUGUGUGUGUGUGUGUGUGUGUGUGUGUGUGUGUGUGUGUGUGUGUAUGUGUGUGUGUUUUCUGGCCUGUAGGUGUGGAGAUUUCUCUAAUCUCAUCAAUAUGAGCUUUGAGAGAGAGAGAGAGAGUAGGUGGUGAUAGAAGCGUCUCUGUUCCCAGGUCAUAUAUUCGCCUCCAAACUCCAGACUGUCAGCUGGACAAGGUGCAGGAGGUUGAGUAGCGUGUGUGUGUGUGUGUGUCUGUGUUUAUAUAUUCAUGUGGGUUUUGGUAGAGAACCUUUAUUUUGGGGACAUUUUUGUUUUUGAGGACAUCUUUCAAAGACUUAGUUCAUGUGGUCCUUAUGAAUGUUCUGUCUUUUAAAGUGACAUAUUAUCCCCCUCCUCUAAUGAUAGACCCAUAUUUUGCUCAAUUUCCAGCUACACUGAAAACAGUUGUUCAUGUGAGAACUCACAAAGUGUUGUACCCAUAAAGUACUGAAGACCUGUACAUGAACACAUCUGUGUGUGUGUGUGCCCGUCUGUCUCUGCGUGUGGGUGGGUGUUCUUGUGUAUGUGUGCAUGCAUGCCGGACAGCACAGCCUGUAUCCCGUCUUACUAUGUGUGUGUGUCUAAACAUGAUGUCCCUCCUGUGAUCAGAACAAUCCAUCAGGCCUUGCUGCUCAUUAAUCACCAGACACACACACACACACACACACACACACACACACACACACACACACACACACACACACACACACACCUUCCAGAUCAGGGCAGGCAGUGAUGAACAGUAGUAAGAGUUUAGUGAAGCACUCACACCUGAACCACAAACACAUCAGAAGACAUGACCAUGGCCUCGAAUGGCCUUUUGAAAAAAAAACUCUAGACACAAAAUCCUGCUCAGAGACCCGGUGAUCUUACUCUGGAUUGUUUCAAUAUAGACAACACUUCCUUUAGUCAUCUUUGAAAUAAAAACACUGAUUUGAUAAUUCAUGUGGAAUAUACAUCAACCAACCAUACUUUUGUAAACACCUAGGAAUACAUGCAAACCAAAGCAACAGCACUACCACAAAUUUCACCUUUAAGGCGCCUGUAUUUUACUUUUUACUGACAUCAUCAGUUAAAUGAUAUAUACCUUAUAUUUAUUGCUUAAGGCUUAGUUAGUGGUGGUGUAGAGAAGUGUGUAUGUUGCAGGAUGUCACUUAUAUUUUGUCCACUUUAUUUUUAAACAAUUACCUCCAGUCUGGCCAUGUCACCAAAAAAUGAAACUGUAGUAGAAGCUUUAUUAAAAACAGCUCCAAAUAACUUUUUAAAACCCAUCCACCCAAACCUUUACCCCAAGUAGACUUGAUGGAUCUGUAAUUGCAUCACUUCUACCUCUGCCUGAUAUUGUCCGAAUCUGUGGAAGUAAAUGUUAUCCUCAGGGAUCGGCUUUUUCUGUUGUUGAUAUUUUUGGUCCUUUGCCUUCAAAUUUUCUUGAAACUUCAAGUUUGAGUUGGUCGCCACUGGAUUGUUGAGGCCAAUGUCGCAACCUCUAAGUCCUCUUUUCCUCUGUUCUUGUCUCAAGUCUCCACUCGAAGCCCUUUACUAUGGAUCAUCAGAUCAGAGCUAAGCAGCCCUCCAUAGAACCAGCGUACUGGCUAAUUCACUAUUGAUCCUGGCCCAUGGACCAAUUUCCACUUGUGUUUGGUUUGGGACUACAGUUUCAGUCACGCUUCGUCUCUCCCUUAGGGGCCAGGGAGGAGCCCCUGCCACUCUCUUAUCAGGCCGAGAGCACACACACAAAGAGUGUGUGGGAUGGAGAAAGAUGGGGAGUGAGAAGCAGGAGAGGAGUGCUGCUAGCUUGCAGAGAAAAAGAGAGAGGGGUCAUUAGUGGAUGGCGAUGAGGUCCAGAGUUUGGGAGAAAACAGAGGGUUACUGGUUUUGUGUGAAGGCAAAGUGCUUCCUGCCACUCCUAUGUAUUUUUUAGUGCAAAUAUUUGUAUGGAUGUGUUGAAAUGAGAGUGACACGUAGACAGGAUACACUGAGCUGUCCAUGGUGCUGAAAGGAGGUCAUGCAUCAAAAGACUGUCCUUUUUGCUUUUGUCUCUCUCCUUUUAAAUCUCACAAGCUAGUUGCUGUAGGGGGUCAUCAGUGUGUGAAGCUGACUUAAUGGUUUUGUGUUUUAACAUUUAUAGUGCGGUAGUACUAUAGUACUGGAGUACUGUUUCUGUGUGAGUUAAUGUAUGUUGACCCAGGCACAUUCCUCUCAAACCAAUCUCACACUUGCACAAAAUGAAGGCUGCUUCAGAGAUCAAACCUGUCCACUUCUCACAAUCCUCUUUCACCCUCGUCUAUCGACUCACCUCUCACUCUCCAUCUGUGCUGUCUCUGCAUGCCUCCCCACCUGCCACCACCUCCCCCAAAGCACUCCUUCUCUUCCUUUUUAUCUCUUGUCUAUCCACCCCUUCCUUUACCUGUCCCUGCUGCUAACCCCCUCUCCGUCUCCCCUUUUUCUUUUCUUCCAAUAACAACAUUCCUGGGACUAAUUGCAAUUCUGUCAGCAGGUAAAUGCUUUGUGACCGGUCGCUGACAGUCACGCCAGCCCCCAGGUUGCUGCUGACAGUCAUUGUGGGGCAGCCCAGGCAACGCUGGCUUGGCAGUCAGUUAGCAGGCGGUGUGUAUCUGGACGUGGCCUCUCAGCUGAAUAGUGAGACUCCCAACUGUCUGCCAGUGUGUGACACUCCCAUUACCCUGCCACUGAAAAAGGUAGACAGCCACCGAACAGCUGGAUAAUGCACUGUCUGACUGACGAUAUACUCUACCUCUUUCACUUCUCACCUUGUCUCCGGGCCUAUGACAACGCCAUCUUGAUACUGUCAGGUUAAGAGCCAGUUUGUGUGGCAUGUUAGCUCUCACAUGGUUGACUCCUGAUAUAAAGCAGAAAGGAAGCAGGAGGGUUCUGGGUUUGAUGGUGAAUGAUGGAUAAGAGGAAACACAGGGGUAACCCUCUUUUUUUUUUAUAUAACUGCAACUGCCUGACAUACUUGAAUCCUUUCACUUAGCAUGAAAAACACUGCUACUUUGGCUCAAGUGCAGAAUAUAUUAUCAGGAAUUUAAAUGUAGCAUCAACCUUAGCGUAGCUUCUUGAUGACCAGGCUUGGCUAAUUAAAGCCGGCUGUUGACAGUUGUCAGUGUGACCCAUGGUGCAGCACUCCCCCCAGGGGUCCUGUUAGCAUGCUAAUGCUAAUCCCCAGUGACGGGGGACAGGGCAAGGCUGUCCCCUGCAGCCCCCCUGAUGUUGUGGCCACAGGAUGUGUCAGGACAGGCACAGUGAUGUGCUAACAUGGAGACGUCCCCAUGUGCAUGUCACACAUCUGUAAUUAGAAAAGAUGCAGGCAGCAAAGGGAGCUGGAGGGGACAGUCUUUGCGAGACCACUUGAUCUUAGAAAAGAGCAAUCUGUGCCUAAAAUGGGCAUCUAAAAGAGCAACUGGUUUCAUUGGCUUUAUUGCAACGAGUUGCCUCAUGGAAGCUCAGGAGGCAUGGAUGAUAUUUGAUGUGAGCAGAUUCGCAGAGAAGGGAGCAACACAGGGCGGCGAAAUGCAGAAAAAUGAACCUGAUAACAGGAAAACUGGAGGAGGGCUGAAAAAAGACAAAGCGCUCGUACACUUGUCUGUCUGUCAGUCUAUCUGUCUGUCUCUCUUCUCCUCUCCAAGGGAAGGUCAAGGACACAUGCAUAUUCAUGGAGGAGCCUGGCACAGGAUCGAUGGCUUUUAAUUGUUUUCUCUUGGUUGGUGGAGGGACAUGCCAGUGUCUAUUGAUCUGUUUGAGCAGAGGCCACUCACAGAGCACGACUGAGAGACCUUUACCUGACUGAACACCGAUAGAGUGUGUGUGGCGGUGUAUGUGUGUGUCAGUGUGUGUGUGUGUGUGGUUUGGAGGAUUGCGUGAUGAUUAGGAUUUUGACACACACAAAACCACAGGCUGCAUAAAAGGGCCUCAUGGGCUUAGAGGUAGACAGACAGAGGUGACACACGGCAACAGAGACAAUGGGAUAUAUGAGGUGGGGGUUUUCAAUGAUGUCAUUUGAAUAUCAUACUUACAGUGAAUGAAUGAAUGAAUUAAUUAAUAGUUAUGAGUAGCAUACAACAAAACGUGGAUUCACAGGAAAAUAUUCACUUUAGCCGUUAGUCACUCAGUGUAUCUAAAUUAAAAUAUGUCUGUAAGACUAUAUAGAUGUUUUCUCAUUUAUGUCAUUGUGAUGAAAAUGGCUCUUCUGCAUCUGUUUUUUCAUGGUGCCAGGUGCAGUGAAAGCUCUCCAAAGUGACUGGCAUGCAAAGCCCCAACACCCAACCUGUACGGACCAGUACCAGGAUCUCCAGCCUCUUCUUUGGCAGGUGUCCCUCAACUUCAUAUACCUUCCUUAUUUGCACUCAUAGGCUUUCCCUGUUUGUUUUUUUUUUCACAAUGAGCUCAAGCAUGAGAGCAGGCCUUGGUGAGGUAAACCAAAGCAUGGUAUCAGGUCGCAGGGUGGUUAGUUGGUUUUCCUCCCUCUUUGCCAGGAGUAUCCUUCCAGAGCUAGUUCAUGAUAACCAAACUCAGGAUGUUGCAACAGUAACAUGUUUGCACACAAACAAGAAAACGUUCAUAAAAGGUGUCAUACGUUUUCAUAUAUUACAAAAAAAAACUAUUCAGAUGUAUUUUAAAGUCCCGAUAUGAUAGGAUUUGUAUCUUGCAGCAAAACAGACGACAAUUAACAGAGAUUUUUUUGAUAAUUUACAAAAGCAAAAAGACUCAGCAACAUGAUUGACUAUUUCUAUGAUGUAAUGUCUGUAACUACUGCAAGGGAGUUGGUAAGAAUUGAUUAACAAACUGGUUAAAAAAAAAAAAGUUUCUACAGCAGAUACUAAGAAGAAACGAACAGGAUGACAUGUUUGUCAGAAAACACAACUUUAAAAUGUUGAAGAAAAGAUCAGAAAAGAGAAACAAGCUGUUACUGUGUCCACAGGGAUGUAUAAAUCAGCCCAAACCUGAGUUAGUUUUAAGUUAAUAGAUGAUUUUUUUUCACCUCUUAUGGUGAGAUAAUUGCACUAUUCCUUGAAAUGUGAUAAAUUCUCUGCUUGUUUAGGACUCGAGCUAAGUUUAACCACAUUUAAACAUCAAGAUUGUAAAAUAUAAAUGCAUUGUUUGGGGGAUGAUGCUUCCUUCACUGAAAAAAAACCAUGUAUUUUUACAGCCAAUUGCAGACACGUCUUAGCAAAGCAAAAAUGUGAAAAUUAGACCAAUUAUGACCACUCUUUGUUGAAAAUUUUAAAAACCAGAAAUAUAAUUCCUAUUGAAGAAUUUCUCAUUGCUCAAACUUGAACACGUUUUCCACGGUUUAGAGAAACAUUUACAUCUGAAUGUUGACCUUGUGAAUAACCCAUGAAUGUGUUCACCUGCCCGUCUCCCAGUCGAAGAUAAUCCCCCCGUCAGAUGCCUCCUCUCCCUCUCGCUUUCAUUUAUUCUUUUGUAGCUGGUUGAAUUUGUCAAUUUGAACAGGCAAAGUUGGGAGAUUGGUGGCAAGUGGGGAGUAAAAGGAGGGUGCAGCGACUGGAAUAGAGAGGAAGAGAAAGAUAAAAAAAGAUUGUGACAGUCAUCCAUUUGACCCAGGCUGUUGAGUGAGCGCAGCCUGGCUUGUCAAAUCUCUGUGCUAACAGUGAAUAGCCAUAUCUGUGCAGAGCAUAGAAGGGUGUCAUGCACUAUGGUUUCAUGGUUCAGGAUAAGGCUGGAUAAAGCCAUUGGCUGGAUGACACAGACACACGCUCUUCAACUUUCUCUCUAACUCCCUGUCUCUCGCUCUCUGGCUCCAUCUUGAACUCAGAAGGGUAAAACAUAAACACAAAUUUCAACCAAGUCAGACUGCUUGUAUGGAAACUACAUAUAUUUUAGUUAGUUAUGAAAGGGGAAGAACCUGUUUCUGUGUUUUAAAAAGAGGAAACAGCUUCUUGCUCAUAUAUUUAACCUUGUACCCUUUGAUUAUUGAACAAUAAGAACCCUCCAUCCUCACUCCUCCCUUUUUUCUACUCCUCUGUAAUAUUCUCCACAUCCACACACACACACACACACACACACACACACACACACACACACACACACACACACACACACACACACACACACACACACACACACACACAGUACCUAUUACUAGCUCAUUAGCCUGAAUCAUUCCAGAAUUAGACUCCAGCUUACUGACAACAGCUCAGAGAAUGGGCCUUUUUUCACUCAGGAGUCAGGGGUUAAGUUACCAAUCAAAAUAGCCAGGCAGAUGUAUUGAGACAUUUUAAUAUUGGCCAUCGUGGAAGCUCUAAAAAAUGUUAAUCUCUCUCUGGCACAGCUCCCCCUGAAGGCAACACAAAUAAGGGUCUUGAGGAGGGGGUUGCUAUUCAAAGAAUUGAUGUACCCUGUGGCAUUUGGAUAAUUGUGUUGGAAUUGCUGCCUCCUUGAAGACUUUGCAGGCUGAGUGUGCUUUGUUCACUUACUUCUUUGCUUACCUGGAUGGAAGAUUUUUCUGUUUCCCCAACCAUCAGACAUGGGAUUUCGCAUCAACUGUAUGCAUGUCAAGAUAAAUGAUGCUCUGUACUGAAUAAAAGUGAGGCUAAGAUAUGUUCCUUUUAAAGGUUGCUGAUGUUUUAAGUUAUGAUGAUCUACUUUCAAAGCUGUGGUUUAGACAUCCCACCCUUCCUGUCAACCAAUCUCAAGUUUGUCCAAACUCCCAUCCUUUAGCGGGUUGGCAGCAGACUUAAUGGCUUAUACUUCAGUAUAGAGGAGGGGCUCUAAAUCUUUUGGCUUUACUUUUAAAGAGCUGUCAUGUUGUCCAUUGUUGUAUAGAGUCCAUUGGAUUUCCCUUGUAUCCAGUGCUAUAUGGUUGUGUUACAGAUGACUGUCUACCAAUGGGUCUGGUUCUGGUUAAGUUUUCUGCUUGUUCGAAGGUUGUUGUUUUUUCCUCUUUAUCUUUUUACAACUUCCAAGCGCUCGCUCAUUAAUGGAUUAAUUUUGAGGUGUGUAUAAAUGACACAAAAAACAAAGCUUAAGACUGCUCUCUGCAUUGGUUGUCUAAAUGUACCUGAGUAAGGUAUGAAUCCCUCAUACCAAACAGCCCCUCCUGUUAAGUGGGCUUGGAGUUUCCAUUGAACCACAGUAAAUAAAAAAAUAAACCACCAGAGGGGGCCAAUGAUGAAAAAAGGGCUGCAACGCAGGCAGGCGAACACACAACACUAUUUUACAUGUUUUACAAUUGUAAAUCAGAUUAUUUCCAUCUCACCCAUCAGCUCUUCUCUUCCUCUUUAUUUCCUCCUUCCUCACAUGGUGUGCCUUCCUCAUCAUCCACACACCCCCACCCUCCACUUUUCCUCUCCGUGGUCCUGUCCUCUCGCAGGGUUCAGACUAAUGACUAGUGACAGUCCACUGAGGGGAGCGAGCUGUUUGCAGUCAGCAGUGCGUUUGUUGGUAAUUAUUUUCCAGAGUGUCACAUUAGUGUCAGCCUCAUGGCGGUGAGAGAGGAGAGGGGACGCUGGGCCCCGGCUGGCUGGAUAUGCUAGGGGAGGGGACAGGGUGUGAUGUUUAGUGGUGGGCAGUGUUGUGUUUAUGUGUGUGUAUAUAUAUAUAUAUAUGCGUGGACUGAAAAAAAAAUGGCAGUGUGUUGAGGACACAGGCUGUCACUGCUCUUUACUUUUUGCCUCUUGGGUACAUGAGACGUAAGAUAAAGGUUAGAAGUGAGUGGAAGAAAAAGGAAAGGCUGCUUUUCAAUCCUGUUUCUUUCUGGAAAAGACACCAUGGCCUUACAUUCAUGCUUGCCUUACAGAACGAAGAUGGUUACAUGUUUUUUUUAUUGUUGACAGGAUAAUAUGUGAAAGUCCAAACUCCACCUCUUUGUCUCCUGGUAGGUUAACCUAGGUUAGACUGAGCCAGCAUUUCCAAUAUGGCGGCCCCUGCUGAUGGGGUUCAAAAGUUGGUAACCAAUAACUGGGUGCAUCUGUGACACUGCCCAAUUUUUUUUAAGGCAGCUUUGAAGUCUAUCAGUGACAGUUGCCAUAUUGGCAAUGCUGACUCAACCUAACUUUUGGUCAUUCUAUCAGAGACGGGUCUGUAGCCUGCUUGCUAAUAGCUACAGUGUUUAACGAGGUGCCAACUCUUAUGCCACGGCAUCAUCAUCUGCUGCAUCUCUCUUUCUCUUGAACAUAGAAUCAUUUUUUCUCUGCAUUUUGUUUUAUUUCUGAAUUAAGGUUGAAGCAGCUGUCUCUUUAAAAGUUCCCUACUUCCACAAAAGGCGGGAGGCGAUGCCCAGCACCUAGGCGACCAGCGUCCAAUCAAAAGUGUGCACUAAGCGCUCCCACUUCUGUAGUUUGUUUGAAAUACGACUUACUUGCAAACAGCAUGGUCCCAUUGGAUUACUACGGUUGCAACGCAGAGUGCAGACUGAUGUGCGACAACAUGGUAAGCAAAUGUAGCUUACAUACAUUGCAGGGGUUAAAGUUUGUGUACCACUGCAUACCGGCUGUAAACUGCUGUUUAUGCCUUCCUGGUACGGCGUACCAUUGUGUACCGUUGUGUACCGGCUUACUUUCACCCCUGAUUCACUGACCUUUGACAUGCUACAAAAAAAUUUGCUCCUGUGUGUGUUGGUGUGUAAGUUGUUUUUGGUGCUUCUACAGCCAGCCUCUAGUGGGCACAUGGGAAACUGCAGAAUUUAACACUCCUGCAUCUGCUUCAUUACUCAAGACUGGAGGUUUUCACUUGGUUGGAACCAAAAAUCAAUCCAACAACCAGUAGAGGACAUCUGUAGACUCUGAACUCUGGGUUCCUGCUCUGCCAACUGAGUUAGAUUGGCCCCACAGACGUUACAUUCUUUGAAAAAGCACUUCUUCCUUUAAGUCGUGAUUUCAGACCACUCUGGUGCUGCAUUUAUUUGAAGAAUGUGUAGCAUUCAUAUUGCUUCGAAAUGACACUGGUUAGAAAUGCUUAAUGUUGUUUAUGUGAACUUCAAAACUGUUUUUUAAUGUGAAAUAAUCCAAUUUUAAGCACACUAUUUAAAGCCAGACUUAACACUAUCAGUUUCUGAUAUUCAGUGAUUAAACGUGAUAAAAAAAAAGAUAAUUGCUCUACAGACCUUUUCUUAGUAUCUUCAGUAUGAACUUUAGACAGAGUGUCAUAGACAGGGCAUGAAAACUUCCAUACUGUUUCUCCUCUUAUGAAGGUUUUGUUGACAGUUGGGGAAAUGUAUUCUUUAAGUUAUGACAUAAUUGGACAGUACGUUCCCUGAAGUCACACAGCAUGCAGUUCAUGCUCUGUGUCCUUCACUGAAUAUUUCGUCUCUUUGACAACCAUUUACACCAACUGUACUCUCCUCAUAAAACCGCGUUCAGUUCAGGGAAUUUAACUUCAGCAGGAUGAACAAAGUUGAGUACCUACAACUGUGCUGUAAAUGUGUAAACAUACAGGAUACUGAUGUGUGGUUGUGUGUGUGUGUGUCUGUGUGUGUGUGUCUGUGUCUGGUGGGGGUCAGUCACUGGCCCCCUUGGGAGGAAGCGAUCAAUGAUUGAGACCAUAAUGCACCUCUCUGUAUUCCUCCUCACAUUCACGCUCGCUGGCUGCUAUUGGGAGCUGUCACGCACACACACACAUUGACACACACACUUCCACUUUCCCCCCUCGCACGCACACACACACAUUGUCACAUGUUCGACAGCUCAUCUCUCACACGUUCCCUUCCACUCCAUCUUGUAGCUGUCUGGUCGAUGGCCUCUCUCUCUGUCUCACUUCCUUUGCUCAGUGUUUGGCAGACUGUGCCGCUCUGGCGCUGUCUCUCCCUAUGUUAAUAUAGUAGCUAACCUCUCUCUCCAUAGCACUGCUACCAGACUGUCUCUAUGUUGAUAUACUGAGGAGAGUGUGGAGCACUCCGACACACGACUACUACCCAACUGACUCCACAGAACUGAGCACUCUUCAUCUUCACCACUGCCACUGCUUGGGCUCUCCGACGCAGCUCUUUUCAGCUUUUCCGACAGGUAUAAAACACUUUUAAAGGACAGAAUACUCCCUUUUUUCCUCCCUCUCACUCUCUUUUCUUUGUCUUUAGGGGAACCUGUAUGAAUUUUGAAAGCAAUCUGCUGUAACUGGAGCUUGUGAGUCCCACAGCAAAAAGGUAAUUGCCACUAAUUGGUGUGUGGAAAUGAUUACAGCAGUAACUUAGUUUACUCCAUGCCCCAAAAACAGGAAUACAGGAGAGAGGAAGAAAUAAAGACAGGACUAUUUAAUGUUUGCUGCUCUAAUUAGGCAUUGAAAGAAGUUAAAAGACUCUACUGAUGACCCCUGGCAUCAUAAUAAAAGAAGUGGAAAACUCUCAUCAUGUUGAUUUCAUUUGCUUUGAAGAUCCAUCACUUGUUGGAAUUACGCAGAGGAACUUGGUCGAAAUUUUCAGCAUUUGAAAUUGUUUCAAAAUGUUUCAAACUCGGAGACAGAGUGACGCUGCUUAACAGAGCAAACAACGGCCAGAGAGAGACUAAAUCAGACCACAAAUGGUGUGCAUUAAGACGUUACGCUGUGUGUGUGCAUGUCCGUGUGUGUGUGUUUGACAGUCAAGAAGAUGGCCAAGUGACUCACCUCCUGCCAGAAAAUGAAGACAUACAAUUAACAUCAUAUCCCAUCAUCCUCAGCUGAGCGGGCAGGCCUGUAAUUGGCUGGCUGUCCAGCCUGCGUGGCUUCGGGUGGCAAUUUAUUCUGGGAGCCGUGCAGUUUACCCAGGGCGGCUAACUGCCCCUGUGCCAUAACCUG